rnacentral:snRNA from 1 species
GUGCUCACUUCAGCAGCACAUAUAGUAGAACUGGAAUGAUACAAAGAUUAGCAUGGCACACAAAUUCAUAAAGUGUUCCGUAUUUUU